AUUGAACGCUGGCGGAAUGCUUUACACAUGCAAGUCGAACGGUAGAGGGGGCAACCCCUUGAGAGUGGCGAACGGGUGAGUAAUACAUCGGAACAUGCCCAGUCGUGGGGGAUAACGUAGCGAAAGCUACGCUAAUACCGCAUACGAUCUAUGGAUGAAAGCGGGGGACCGAAAGGCCUCGCGCGAUUGGAGUGGCCGAUGGCAGAUUAGGUAGUUGGUGGGGUAAAGGCCUACCAAGCCUGCGAUCUGUAGCUGGUCUGAGAGGACGACCAGCCACACUGGGAAUGGGACACGGCCCAGACUCCUACGGGAGGCAGCAGUGGGGAAUUUUGGACAAUGGGCGCAAGCCUGAUCCAGCCAUUCCGCGUGCAGGAUGAAGGCCCUCGGGUUGUAAACUGCUUUUGUACGGAACGAAAAGGUGGCCUCUAAUACAGGUUGCUGAUGACGGUACCGUAAGAAUAAGCACCGGCUAACUACGUGCCAGCCGCCGCAGUAA
rnacentral:rRNA from 1 species